GAUGAAGAACGUAGCGAAAUGCGAUAAGUAAUGUGAAUUGCAGAAUUCAGUGAAUCAUCGAAUCUUUGAACGCACAUUGCGCCCUGUGGUAUUCCGCAGGGCAUGCCUGUUCGAGCGUCAUUUCAACCCUCAAGCUCUGCUUGGUGUUGGGUCCUGCCCGCUGCGGCCGGCCCUAAAGACAGUGGCGGUGCCGCCUGGCCCUGAGCGUAGUACAUCUCUCGCUCCAGAGCCCGGUGGUAGCCUGCCAGAACCCCAACUCUCGUGGUUGACCUCGGAUCAGGUAGGGAUACCCGCUGAACUUAAGCAUAUCAAUAAGCGGAGGA
rnacentral:misc_RNA from 1 species